rfam:Salmo salar isolate Sally breed double haploid chromosome ssa14, whole genome shotgun sequence.
CCUUUUUUUUUUAAAGCACCCUGCUAAAAUUGUGGGGGUGUAGCCUCUGGGCUUGACCCUUGCAGGCAUGCGAGUAUGGGUACACCAAGCAAGAAAAGUGAAGGCGGUGUCGCAAAUGAGACUAGGGUGGACCGCUUACUGUCCGGUGUCUUAUGUUUCAAGAUUCUGUGCUACAAUC